UAAUGCUUGUAAGACUAUUCUUUGACACAUUUUCUCUUCCUUUGAAAUUCUUAUAGGACAGAACAUGGACACAAUGCAAUUGGGAUCAAGAAGAAGAUCUUCUCAGAAAUGAAUCAAGUCCAUGGAAUGGAUAUAGACAAAAAGAUAAUUCAAGGACUAUCAGAGGUAGAGAGGCAAGGCAGGGGUGAGGACAUCAUCCUGCUAUUUUGACAGUCCCUGAAGGAAAUACAGAAGAGGGAUUUGCUCUUAUUCCUUCCCUUUCUCUAAUGUAUUUUCAUAAAAUUAGCAAGUGUAGUAAGAUCGUUUCUUUACUUUACUAGGACUCGAGAGCACAGCAGUGAUUCUGCUCUUGCCCAACCUCUUCAAUGAGGACCCGAGUGGCCUUUAUGUCCGUGACAAGAUUUCACCGCUCCUCACUCCUUUACUGCACAUCGGCGGAAAUCCAUUUCACCAUGAGAGUGAAAUCCCGCUGGCCUUUGAUGGGGAGAACAUCCACGCCCUCGAGGACGUCCCCAUGGGACAUGGGGCUCUGCUAGGGCUGUAUUUUAAAAUUUAUGUUCUAAAGUUACUGUGUUCUGGGGAUAAGAGAAGUUGGGGUGAAGUUACCAGGGCCGGUCAUAAAGAUGGCAAACUUCCUAACAUAACUAAGUGGAUACGAUAUACACACUAAAGCUGAAAAAUCUGUAUUUAGCAUCAAGUCUACAAUAUUGUUAGUUUACCCAUGAUUUAUUUUUAAUGUAUGUUGUUUUUAUUGUACAUCAUUAUUUUAGAUUUUUUAAAUGUCAUGAAAAGCACUAUACAAAGUAAAUGUAUUAUUUAUUAUGGUCUGACAUGUCUGCAGAAAUGUUGCA